rnacentral:rRNA from 1 species
UACAGAGGGUGCGAGCGUUGUCCGGAAUCACUGGGCGUAAAGGGCGCGUAGGUGGUGGCUUAAGCGUGCGGUGAAAGCUCGGAGCUCAACUCCGAGUCGGCCGUGCGAACUGGGCUCACUGGAGCAUAAUAGAGGCAGGUGGAAUUCCGGGUGUAGCGGUGGAAUGCGUAGAGAUCCGGAAGAACACCGGUGGCGAAGGCGGCCUGCUGGGCUAUGGCUGACACUGAGGCGCGACAGCGUGGGGAGCAAACAGG